rnacentral:rRNA from 1 species
AACGAACGCUGGCGGCAUGCCUAACACAUGCAAGUCGAACGAGACCUUCGGGUCUAGUGGCGCACGUGUGCGUAACGCGUGGGAACCUGCCCUUAGGUUCGGAAUAACUCCCCGAAAGGGGUGCUAAUACCGGAUAAUGUCUUCGGACCAAAGAUUUAUCGCCUUUGGAUGGGCCCGCGUUGGAUUAGCUAGUUGGUAGGGUAAAAGCCUACCAAGGCGACGAUCCAUAGCUGGUCUGAGAGGAUGAUCAGCCACACUGGGACUGAGACACGGCCCAGACUCCUACGGGAGGCAGCAGUGGGGAAUAUUGGACAAUGGGCGAAAGACUGAUCCAGCAAUGCCGCGUGAGUGAUGAAGGCCUUAGGGUUGUAAAGCUCUUUUACCCGGGAUGAUAAUGACAGUACCGGGAGAAUAAGCUCCGGCUAACUCCGUG